rnacentral:rRNA from 1 species
UACGUAGGCAGCAAGCGUUGUUCGGAGUUACUGGGCGUAAAGGGUGCGUAGGCGGCUUUUUAAGUUUGGUGUGAAAUCUCCCGGCUCAACUGGGAGGGUGCGCCGAAUACUGAGAGGCUAGGGUGUGGGAGAGGAAAGUGGAAUUCCUGGUGUAGCGGUGAAAUGCGUAGAUAUCAGGAGGAACACCGGUGGUGUAAACGGCUUUCUGGACCAUAACUGACGCUGAGGCACGAAAGCGUGGGUAGCAAACAGG